rnacentral:rRNA from 1 species
AGGACGAACGCUGGCGGCGUGCUUAACACAUGCAAGUCGAGCGGAAAGGCCCUUCGGGGUACUCGAGCGGCGAACGGGUGAGUAACACGUGAGCAACCUGCCCCUGGCUCUGGGAUAGCCUCCGGAAACGGGGAUUAAUACAGGACAUUCACUUCCUUCCGCAUGGUUGGUGGUGGAAAGUUUUUCGGCCGGGAGGGCUCGCGGUCUAUCAGCUUGUUGGCGGGGUAACGGCCCACCAAGGCGACGACGGAUAG